rnacentral:rRNA from 1 species
UACGUAGGGUGCGAGCGUUAAUCGGAAUUACUGGGCGUAAAGCGUGCGCAGGCGGUUCGUUGUGUCGGCGGUGAAAGCCCCGGGCUUAACCUGGGAACAGCAUUUGAUACUCGAGAGCUUGAGUUCGGGAGAGGAGAGUGGAAUUCCCAGUGUAGAGGUGAAAUUCGUAGAUAUUGGGAAGAACACCAGUGGCGAAGGCGGCUCUCUGGACCGACACUGACGCUGAGGCGCGAAAGCGUGGGGAGCAAACAGG